GCCGCACGUCCUUCGAGAUCCCAGGCCAGAAAAAGGUCUGUGUGAUCCUGUAGGCGGUGCGGUUACCCCCUAAGUGCCCUGCCAACGGAAUGUCAUGUCCAAUUCGGAGACGUUCCAACCGGUACUUUCUGGGUACCACUAGUUGGCGCUUCUGCGAAGGGAUACAGCCUCUCCUCCUACCUUGGGUCAGCCUGUAUAAUCUGUCACCCUCCCAU